rnacentral:lncRNA from 1 species
CCGGAUUGUCAUCACUGAAUUUUUGCCCGAUUAGGAUUUUGGGUCAGGUUGAUCUCGUAUGGGCCCAAUGAUUGGGCCCAUUAGGAUUUAAUUUUGAACUUGUUUUAGCCUUUUAUUUUUUUUAUUUUAUUUUUUUUAUUCUUUUAUUUUUAUUUUCUUUUUAAAUAUUAAUAAAAUAGUAGUAAAAAAAAUCUAAAAAAAGCAUAAAUUACAUUUUAGCCCCUGAUCUUUUCAAAAAUUACAUUUUGACCCCAAAAUUUUCUAUAAAUUACAUUUUGACCCCUAAAUUUUCUUUAAAUUACACUUUGACCCCUUAACUUUAAAUAAAUUACAUUGUAGCCCCAUAUUUUCCUAAAAUUUCAUUUUUGCCCCAGAAACUUUACACCCGUUACAAUUUAGUCCUUCUGGGCAUGACAAGACUGCCCCCAACCAGCAUUCUUGCGUGCCCCGCUUGCCACGCCUGCCACCCCCAAUGCAUGGCCUUCCUCCCCCUAGCCACCUGCAGACAAAGGAAUAGAAGACAAAAAAUGGUAAGAUUAAAAGAAGAAAAUGGAAGAGAAAACGGGGAUUCAACAACCAAAAAAAGGGAGCAAAAAAAUUGAAAAAAAGAACAGCAACGAAAGCUCUCAAAUUGGCCGAUCCCACACUCACCGUAACCGGACCCACGCCACCACGACCGCCGCGCCACGUCCAUCGUUGCCCUCCACCGAAGUCAACCCUAGAAACGAGCAAGCAUAAACAAAAGAAAGAAAAUCAGUAGCAAAAAAAAAAAAAACAUCAAAGAAGAAAGAAGAGAAGAAAGAAGGAGAGGAGAGGAGGAAAAGGGGAACGCCGUGACCGGUGCCACCGAACGGAGGAGUCGACGGCGGCUGUGAACGACAGGGGAGGAACGGCGGCGGGCUAGGCUUCCAAAGAGGAAGAAGAAGAAAAAUAGAAAGAAAAAGAGGAAGAAAACAGAAAAUAUAUAUAUAUAUUCUGGUGACCCGAACCGGAUCCGACCCGAACCGGAUCCGAUCCAAGCUGCAGCAGCCACCAGCAGCAGUCUAAUAGCAGACUGAUUUAGGUCCAAUAGCAGCAGGC